GCCUGGGUGGCUCAGUCAGUUAGGCAUCUGACUUCGGCUCAGGUCAUGAUCUCAUGGUUUGUGGGUUUGAGCCCCACGUCAGGCU
rnacentral:tRNA from 1 species